AGUGAACGCUGGCGGUAGGCCUAACACAUGCAAGUCGAACGGCAGCACAGUAAGAGCUUGCUCUUACGGGUGGCGAGUGGCGGACGGGUGAGGAAUACAUCGGAAUCUACUUUUUCGUGGGGGAUAACGUAGGGAAACUUACGCUAAUACCGCAUACGACCUACGGGUGAAAGCAGGGGAUCUUCGGACCUUGCGCGAUUGAAUGAGCCGAUGUCGGAUUAGCUAGUUGGCGGGGUAAAGGCCCACCAAGGCGACGAUCCGUAGCUGGUCUGAGAGGAUGACCAGCCACACUGGAACUGAGACACGGUCCAGACUCCUACGGGAAGCAGCAGAGGGGAAUAUUGGACAAUGGGCGCAAGCCUGAUCCAGCCAUACCGCGUGGGUGAAGAAGGCCUUCGGGUUGUAAAGCCCUUUUGUUGGGAAAGAAAAGCAGCAGGUUAAUACCCCGCUGUUCUGACGGUACCCAAAGAAUAAGCACCGGCUAACUUCGUG
rnacentral:rRNA from 1 species